rnacentral:pre_miRNA from 11 species
AACGGACGCACGCAGGGCUUCCCUCCGUGUAUUUGACGAUCUGAUCGCACACUCCGUCUGCACCAGAGUGUCAGUUUGUCAAAUAUACAAAGGGCGGCCUCUGACCCGCCA